GGGCCGAUAGUAUAACGGUAGUAUUCGUCCUUGGCGUGGACGGGAUUCGGGUUCGAUUCCCGAUCGGUCCA
rnacentral:tRNA from 1 species